CAGGUAGGUGGUCUGAUUUGUCUGGAGGUGAAAGCCUUGGGCUUAACCCAAGAAGUGCCCCGGAAACGGUCAGACUUUGAGUCUUGGAGAGGGUUGCGGAAUUCCCGGUGUAGCGGUGAAAUGCGUAGAGAUCGGGAGGAACACCAGAGGCGAAGGCGGCAACCUGGACAAGCACUGACACUCAACUGCGAAAGCGUGGGGAGCAAACA
rnacentral:rRNA from 1 species